UAUGUGAUCGUCUCUCGCAUAUCAAUAAGCGGAGGAAAAGAAACUAACAAGGAUUCCCCUAGUAACGGCGAGUGAAGCGGGAAGAGCUCAAAUUUGAAAUCUUAAAGGGUUUCCCUUUACGAAUUGUAGUUUAAAGAAGUGUUUUCUGUUGAGGUUUAGGUAAAAGUUCUUUGGAAUAGGACAUCAUAGAGGGUGAGAAUCCCGUAUUUGACCUUUACUUUCAACUUUGUGAUACACUUUCAAAGAGUCGGAUUGUUUGGGAAUGCAGUCCAAAAUGGGUGGUAAAUUUCAUCUAAAGCUAAAUAUUGGCGAGAGACCGAUAGCGAACAAGUACCGUGAGGGAAAGAUGAAAAGAACUUUGAAAAGAGAGUUAAACAGUACGUGAAAUUGUCAAAAGGGAAGCGUUUGACACCAGUGUUGUUUUUCUGAAAAUCAAUUAAAGAACUGUUUAUGCUAAGUUGUUUAGACUUUAUCAGCUAUCUGCUUAGUUUUGAGCUUUUCUUUAAUGCACUUUUCAGUUAACAAGUCAGCAUCAAUUUCUUUUGCUGUAAAAAAGCUUGAGGAAGGUGGCUUGAGAUUCGUCUUAAGUGUUUAUAGCCUCUUGCCUAUGCAGUCGGAGAGAUUGAGGUCUGCAGCGUAGAUCCUUCGGGGCUAAAUGCAUUUGUGCUAAGUUAUAGCAUUUUAUAGACAACUUGUUGACUAUGAUUUGUCUUGUAGCUUACUCGCUUAUGUUAUUUUACCUACGCUUAGGAUGUUGAGUAGCGACAUACGCAC
rnacentral:rRNA from 1 species